GACGAACGCUGGCGGCGUGCUUAACACAUGCAAGUCGAACGGAAAGGCCCUGCUUUUGUGGGGUGCUCGAGUGGCGAACGGGUGAGUAACACGUGAGUAACCUGCCCUUGACUUUGGGAUAACUUCAGGAAACUGGGGCUAAUACCGGAUAGGAGCUCCUGCUGCAUGGUGGGGGUUGGAAAGUUUCGGCGGUUGGGGAUGGACUCGCGGCUUAUCAGCUUGUUGGUGGGGUAGUGGCUUACCAAGGCUUUGACGGGUAGCCGGCCUGAGAGGGUGACCGGCCACAUUGGGAGUGAGAUACGGCCCAGACUCCUACGGGAGGCAGCAGGGGGGAAUAGUGCACAAUGGGCGGAAGCCUGAUGCAGCAACGCCGCGUGCGGGAUGACGGACUUCGGGUUGUAAACCGCUUUCGCCUGUGACGAAGCGUGAGUGACGGUAAUGGGUAAAGAAGCACCGGCUAACUACGUG
rnacentral:rRNA from 1 species